rnacentral:lncRNA from 1 species
CCUUGCCCUCAGUUGCUGUUUUGCAAAGCAGCCAUUGCUCUUGCCCAUCUAAGAAUGUGAGUGCAGAAGUCCAUGUUUCAUAGAAGUUUUUUAUUUUCAUAGCUUCUCUAUAUCCCACUAGCACUACUUGGGUUCUACAGGCUGCUGUAAUAUAUAUUGCAUCCUGCCUAUUGCCAUGGGAAUGAUUUGGAGGGCAGAGACAUCCCAUCCUCAAAAGGAGAAGCAUAUUCUGGCUGGUGGAAGAGGACACGUCCACAGAAGGACUCACACAAAGGAUUAGCUUCACCUGGUGCAAGUAUAAUGAAACCCAGUGAAUUCUCCUGACAUGUUUUCACUCCUGCAAGAAAUAUGAUGGGAAGUGGAAGAUACGAUCAUCUCCCUCCCUAGUGGCAUCAGGAUCCUGCUGUUUCUGUGCCUUUUGCCUGAUUCUUUUGGGGAUUUCUUUUGCUUCAGCACUGUGACUGAGCUUCCCAGCUUGACUUCUGCUGCUGCUGUGCUGAGCCCAGAGCUGCAGCCAGGGGAGCGCUGGGGCCGCUGGGCUGGGUCUGCACAGGCAGGUAAGGUUCAAUAAAUCUCAAUAACUAGCAUUUAGUCAAUUUUUUGUUGUUAAUAAACACUUUGGGUGUAUUUCA